GCCAGUAGUCAUAUGCUUGUCUCAAAGAUUAAGCCAUGCAUGUCUAAGUUCACACCCUUGUACGGUGAAACCGCGAAUGGCUCAUUAAAUCAGUCGAGGUUCCUUAGAUGAUCCAAAUUUACUUGGAUAACUGUGGUAAUUCUAGAGCUAAUACAUGCCAACCAGCUUCGACCCGUCCCGCAAGGGUUGGGAAAGAGCGCUUUUAUUAGUUCAAAACCAGUCGGGUUCUCACAAGGAGCUCGUCCGUUGGUGACUCUGGAUAACUUUUCGCCGAUCGCAUGGCCUCGAGCCGGCGACGCAUCUUUCAAAUGUCUGCCCUAUCAAAUGACGAUGGUACGUGAUCUGCCUACCAUGUUGGCAACGGGUAGCGGGGAAUCAGGGUUCGAUUCCGGAGAGG
rnacentral:rRNA from 2 species